UAAAACACAUAAUUAAAAAAGUAAGGCAACACCGCCACAGUGAUAAAGCAAAGAGAAAACGCGUGGCAAAGUAUUGCUGACCGCCUGAAUGUUGUCCUUCCCUGGCCACAGAAGACUCUGUGACAUCAAAGAGGAGUUCUAUAGGAUUGCAGAUGGUCUGAAUGCUGACUGUCUGAUCAACAGUCAUGGACUGAGCCAGGCAAAAUGGCCUCAGUCC